CCUACGGGAGGCAGCAGUGGGGAAGUAUUGCACAAUGGGCGCAAGCCUGAUGCAGCAACGCCGCGUAGAGGGACGACGGCCUUCGGGUUGUAAACCUCUUUUAGUAGGGAAGAAGCGAAAGUGACGGUACCUGCAGAAAAAGCACCGGCUAACUACGUGCCAGCAGCCGCGGUAAUACGUAGGGUGCAAGCGUUAUCCGGAAUUAUUGGGCGUAAAGAGCUCGUAGGCGGUUUGUCGCGUCUGCUGUGAAAACUGGAGGCUCAACCUCCAGCCUGCAGUGGGUACGGGCAGACUAGAGUGCGGUAGGGGAGAUUGGAAUUCCUGGUGUAGCGGUGGAAUGCGCAGAUAUCAGGAGGAACACCGAUGGCGAAGGCAGAUCUCUGGGCCGUAAACUGACGCUGAGGAGCGAAAGCAUGGGGAGCGAACAGGAUUAGAUACCCUGGUAGUCCAUGCCGUAAACGUUGGGAACUAGAUGUAGGGACCAUUCCACGGUUUUCUGUGUCGCAGCUACGACAUACGUUACCCGUCCGUCGGGAGGUACGGCCGCGACGGACGUAACUACGAACGAAGUAGACGGCGUGAGACGUCGCCGACGGACGACGACGAGGGAGGAGG
rnacentral:rRNA from 1 species